rnacentral:misc_RNA from 1 species
AAGUCGUAACAAGGUUUCCGUAGGUGAACCUGCGGAAGGAUCAUUAACACGUAUCCAACGUUAAACAACCCUGUGAACUUUCAGACGUUCUUGUAGCCCUGGCGGAACAGCAAUCCCGGUAAAUCAAUGGCGGAAAAAGUUUUGAUUCGGGACCUCUGCCCAAAAGGUAUAAAGUUACAAUCGAGCUAGAGCACGGUGGCAUGGUUUCCCUAAGCAGUGAGGGAUCCACUGAGUAAGGAUAACGCUUCACGGUUGCUAGAGGUCGAUCACCGGCCGGCAAACAUGUCACAGGGCUAUAUGCCCCCCCUUUCACACCUUGCACUGAUCAAGCCCCACGGAAACGUCGGGGCAUUAAAACGAACAACUGUUAACAAUGGAUAUCUUGGUUCUC